GGGGCUACACUCCAGAUCAUGUCUAGUACAUUUCUUCUUCUUCGAUGAAGGCAAGUGAAUGUAGCGGUGGUUGCUUCCGUUCUGACCUGUUAUUUCUAUUGCCUACACUCUAAUAUUCAGAAGUAUUGGAUUCUUUCAUAAUUGGACUCUAUGGUGAUGCUUUACUUGCUUGCAUUAUACUGAUGAUCAAUCAUAUAUUGAUGAUGAUUAUGAUUCGAGUAUGAUUCAUGAGAUUAAUUCACACCCCUGAAGGUAAAUGAAGUAUUAUUUGAGGUUGGUAUUGUAUCUGAAGGUAAAUAAAGUAUUAUUUAAGGUUUGUAUUGUAUUUGAAGGAAGUGAAGUUUAUUGAUAAAUGUAGCAUGCCAUAUACAUUGCAUGACUCAUUUGCAUCUGAAGUUUUGUCGUGACCUAUGGUCCGACCGUACCGGUACAAUUUAGCAUCUUAUGUUGCCCGAGGAGGGGUACGAUGUGGCUUCAUACCCUUAGAGGUAUGAAGGCAGAGGACAUAUGCAGUCAUUGAAGUGAUAUUUGCAGAUGAUGUGGUUUUAUACCCUCAGAGGUAUGAAGAUAGAGUACCUACACAUUGCAUUCCUAUGCAUACAUUGAAGUGAUAUUUGCAGGUAUUGUUGACGCAGGGAAGUGUUAUAGAACCUAUUGUGGUUGUUCGAGGAAAUGAGAUGGUAUUGGUUAUAGUGGGACUACUGAGUUCUAUAUCUACAAUUAUUUCUGAUUUUAAUUGUGACUCUUUUAAAAUGUUGAUGAAUUCAAUUUGUGAUUUAAAUAUCUCGUCAAAAUAAUUCGCUUGUUGAGAUGUUUCAUCUCACUCUUGCAUUACUCAAUGCAGGUGCUUGUUGCUCAUCAAGGGAAGUGGGGAGUAGCAGCACAUCCACCUUCACUCUUAUAAUAACGCUGCUUAGGCGCAGUCAUGAUUUAAUUAGAAGCUUCUUGUCAAAGGAUGUUUGUUUCUAACUAGUUGUGCGCACUGAUUAAUUUAGCUCAUGUCGUUAUGAUUGUCUUCCCAUUGCUAGCAGACUAUUAAUGUCUAUUAUGUUUUCUUAUCAUGAUAUCUAUUUAUACUUUGUUGCUUCCCCGUUUAUGCAAUUUUCAAAGGAGAUGCUGUCGAAAUUUUAUAUACGAAUGUUAGAAGCGUAGUUUAGUAGCAUUCUGGGGUGUUUGUGGAUCUCGGGGUGUUACAAUAGGUUUCAUGAGUCUUUGAAAUAUGCUACUACGUACAAGAUAGCACAUGAUCCAGAUGGAGGUGUGAAUGAUUGGGUGGUUCAACAUACUUCAAGGUCGAAUAAGAUUGUGUGGGGGCAACACCAAUUCAAAGUAAUGGAUGAUGUAGAUGCUGGAAAGUAUGAAUGUGAAUGCAAGCAUUGUGAGCAUACAAGUAUGUUAUAUUAGGUCUGCUAUGUGUGCAUCUUUUACGAACAUUUAUGCAUCUUCAGAUUGAUUGUAUUCCUCUGGAAUACAUCCUUCAGAGAUACACCUACUCUGCUAUACAAGAUGUGACUUUUUCAAGGGAUGAUAAGAAUUUGAAGGGUAAAGACAGUGAGACUAAAUCAUAUAGGCAAAAGAUGUUGCUUAAAAAGGCAAUGAAAGUAGUGCAUCAUGCAAGUCUUUCAAAGGCGGGGCAUGAUAGAGCCCUAGAGAUGAUGGAUGAACUACUUUUGCUACUUUCGCUGUUGGAGCCAGAUAUAGAAGGUGAUGAUAGUACUAGUGACAGUGAAGGAAUCCAAGUAUUUAUUGUAUUAUUUGAAAUAGCCGUGUAUCAUAAAUGAUAUACUAAGUUUUUAUGCUUAGUAAAUGAGAAAAAUGUGAAACUUGCCUGGUACAGAGUGACAGGGAUGAUGUAAGAGACAUGCCAGGAGAAAAUCUACCGACAAGAAGGGCACAUGGUGGUGAAAUUCAAUUGGUGCCUAGUUUACAAGAAGGUGGUGUGUGCAAUACCCGAUGUGCUAUGCCGCUACAAAUACUGGAACAUCACGGUGUUGGACAGUUGCCCACUGGCAUACCACUGAGAGAUGAGUGCGCAACAGAUAUGGCGAUUAAAAAGAAGCUAGAUUUUAAUGUGAGUGGAGUAAGCUUGAGAAGACCAGAUAACGCGAAGCCAAAGGGCAGAACAAUCAGUGAUACCGAAAAAGAGUUAUUAAGUUGGGCACAAAAGAAGACAAGAAAAAGAACAGAAAGUGCCAAAGGUGUGGCAUUACUGAUGGUCACAACAGUCGCACUUGGCUAUCUAUGGAGGAGAAUAGGCUUCGGUUGGCCAGCCUUACUGGUCGGAAAAGAGGGCAGCCCCUAGGUUCUAGGAACAAGGGUUCAUCUGAUGCUCCAAAUUGGAAUGAGACAUGCACUUCAUAAAACAUCGUGGGGGUAUCACAGACAAUGAUUCAUCUAGUGGGGAGUAGAUGAUUUCAGAUUUUAGGACAAUUGUAAUGUAGUAACAUACUUGUUAUUACACAUAUGGACGAAUUAAUAAAUCUGAUACCAGUUGAUAUUCACAAAGUA